AUGGCACUGCUGGUGGAUUUGCAGCCUUGGCCUAGAGCAGGGACUGACAGAGCUGCCUGUGUGAUGACAUGUGAUUGCCCUGACUCCAGUUGUGGAGGUCUGCCAUUAGCUCUAUCUGACUGCAGGCACCUGACUGAGAUUCCACCCUCCUCUGCUGCUUUCCGUGCUGUCCUGAUAGUUUGCGUUAUUCCAGGUGCAGUGGAGCUGGGAAGUGGGGAGUUGGGAGUGCUGCCAGCAAAAGGAAAGGACUGUGCUGUUUGCAGCCUCACUGGGCGAGGAAGCAACUUUGCAAUUACUGUAUGAAGACCUGAGAAGGUGGAGGAUUGCAGUAUAAUGGGCUACACUUGCAUGAACAGCGUUAAAAAGCCCAAGUGUUUUUUACCCCACUGGUAAUGUUUGCCUGACACUGGUUGGAGCCAAUAAAAAUCUGCAAACUCUGCCUGUUGUUGUGACC
rnacentral:lncRNA from 1 species